GACGAACGCUGGCGGCGUGCCUAAUACAUGCAAGUAGAACGCUGAAGAGAGGAGCUUGCUCUUCUUGGAUGAGUUGCGAACGGGUGAGUAACGCGUAGGUAACCUGCCUUGUAGCGGGGGAUAACUAUUGGAAACGAUAGCUAAUACCGCAUAACAAUAGGUGACACAUGUCAUUUAUUUGGAAGGGGCAAUUGCUCCACUACAAGAUGGACCUGCGUUGUAUUAGCUAGUAGGUGAGGUAACGGCUCACCUAGGCGACGAUACAUAGCCGACCUGAGAGGGUGAUCGGCCACACUGGGACUGAGACACGGCCCAGACUCCUACGGGAGGCAGCAGUAGGGAAUCUUCGGCAAUGGGGGCAACCCUGACCGAGCAACGCCGCGUGAGUGAAGAAGGUUUUCGGAUCGUAAAGCUCUGUUGUAAGUCAAGAACGAGUGUGAGAGUGGAAAGUUCACACUGUGACGGUAGCUUACCAGAAAGGGACGGCUAACUACGUG
rnacentral:rRNA from 1 species